rnacentral:lncRNA from 1 species
UAUGACAGUAAUUAAGGAGUAACCCCUUGCAGCCUGUAACAACUGACACUGCUACCACGCCUUGCUUAGGUUUUCUGUUAAUUACAUAAGAUUGAAGUCUCUGAUGAAUUUCAGUUAAACCAAAGUAGGGCAUCAAAUAAAGAAAAUGUGGGUGAAGACUGACUUGAUAAAAAUGCACACUGGCUGAACACAUCGUUUUGUGGUCAAGGUUUAGUAUUUCCUAUUGGAUUCUGACUGAUUUAUCACAGCUUCUUGGCAGACACACAGCCUUUAAAAUCGCUUUCAUAUCAGCAGGCCCAUCGAAAGUGGUGGAAAGGAACAAAAACAAUGUCUAGCACCCGUAAUUAAAUUGGAAGGACAACAGGAUACUCAUUUUAAGAACUUAUCCAUCUCCCUUUAUCCAGCGUCUUGAGGGUCGGGCUGAAUCUGAGUAUUCUUAGCUCCAGGAUCACUGCAGAGCCGGGACCCAGCCGCCACUCAAAUGAUGAUUCCCACAUGGGAGUCCAAGCCCAUCUUUCCCCACAUAAGGAAAAGGAACGAUCAGGACUUGGGGCCUCAAGAAUAAGGUAGGAAUGUCAAUUAUGUUCUCAGACGUACGUCUUUGCAAAGGCUUAAAACUUC